UCUAUGUACACUCUACUAAAGUGUACAUAUAAAUCAAUAUUUAAUUAAUAUGAGAGGGGAAAAUUUAUUGUGUGUCUCGAACUUUUUAAAACACGGACUGAGUCUUUUUAAUACAUAGGCUGAGUCUUUGAUAUGUUGACUUUCUCAAAAGCCUAGACCAGGGAGAACAGAAGCAACCAGUGGCACAGCUAUAUACAAGAUGCUGGGUAUUGUACAGCAAACCCUAACAAAGGGGCUUUUCAAAGUUAACCCAAUUACCAAAUAAUGUGAUGAUAACAAUAACUAUCCAUUGUCUUCUAAGGCAGCAGGAACCUCACAUUUCCACUAUAGAGCCUAUAUUUCCCCCAGUCCUGGAACCUUAAGGUGGGGUGCACUUUCCUGCAUGCUUCUCUCAAUUCAUAUCAAAUAAUAUUGCAUCACAACCUAAUCAAUGCAACGAGUGCCACCUCAGCAUGCUUCACUUCAAAUUGUGUCCAGAGACUUCAGGUGUGGAAAGACAACCCUUCAGCUUCAUUACUCAGCCACCAGGUUCCAGAUGCCAGCAGGAUGCUGACCAGACUUCCCUGGACAGACAACGCCAUCAGUGUGUCCUGGAGCUCUGCUUCCCCAGAGACCCACCCUACUAGGGAAAAAGGCAGGCUGGGAGUAUGGAUCAACCAGUCAAUACCCAUGUUCAGCGGGGAAGCAGUUACAGAAGCCAGACCUUCCACCAUUUGCAACCCACAGUGAGCUUGGGUCCAUAUUCCCAGAGGGAUAAAAAAUAAGAAAACUAUCAGAGGAGGGGAUGGGAUAUAGAGAUCUGAUGGUGGGAAUUUUGUGGAGUUGUAUCCCUCCAAUCCUACACUUUUGUUAAUGUCUCCUUUUGAAAAUAAAUUAGAAAAAUGUUGAAUAGAUUUUAGUUGGGGAGACAGGCAAUUGCCCUCCAUUGGACCCUGAGGUUGAGCUGUAUUCUGUGUCCCCUCUCAGGUCACUAAAGCCAACAGGAUAGGGAAUGGGGGACACUUCUGAAGUACUGGAAUAAUCUUAUUCAAGAGCAAACUAACCUUGGCAUUUCUUCUCAGGAAGCUUUGGCUGAAUUUCUUGAGGUUUUCAUAGGUUAUCUCAUCUGAAGGCAUCUUGUACCUUGCAUCAGAGCUCAAGUUUAGGAUCUGGACAGACGGGAUGUCUACCUCUGUGAUCCGGAAGUAUUCAAAGAUACGGCCGUUUCUGGGUUCAUCUGCAUCCACGAGGAUGAAAAGGAUCUGCCAAAAAGCAGAAGGGAGCUGUGUCUCUCUGGUUCAUUUAUGGAGGGAUGGAAACCAAGAGGAAGCUGUGGGAAGGCACUUGUGGAAUGCAAAUAGCCAGUUUGUGGAGCAUCUCUGAGUGGUGCAGCAAAGGCUUCCUUACACCAGGUGGAUGCGGCCCUGUCCCAGUAUAUAAGCAGGAUGGAGAGGCUGGUCUCUCCAGUCUUGUACAGGUGCCUUCAACACAACCACAGGAAGUCAGGUGCCAAACACGUAAACACAGGAAGUCGGGUACGAAACACCGGACCACAGGAGGUACAAGGUGGGCUUCUACCUCCACCACCGUCCUCCUUUCCUUGGCCAAACCAGAACUGUCCUCAAGAGAACUGUACCUUGUUUUGAAAUUCCUUCGAAGCCAAUUUAUAAUGCUGCAUGAUCAGACCAAAAGACUCCGAGGUUUUGGAGACAAAAAGCAGCAUGUGAUUCAGGACGUUCAAGUCAUAAAUCAGCUCCUUACUCUGCAAUUAUAAGAAGGACAGGUCGUCCUUGUUCACAGCUAUCCCAGUGAGCCUCCUUCCCCGGGCCCCUCUGCUUACUGACCUGAGCGUUAUAUUCAAUAACCUGGUCUUUGAGCUGUUCUUUGAUGACUUGAUUGAGAGCUUGCUUAUUGGUAUUGUCAUUGAGUAGCUCCUGGCGAGUCACCACUUUUCCCUGGGAUGAAAGAACGAUGUUGGAGGGAGGGCAGUAGUUUUUAUCAUCGAGGCACUUAAUAAAUAGGACUGGCCCAAUUUUCUCCUGACAUCAAAGGAAAACACAAUGAUGACAGAUGUCAUUUGUCACCUAGGUCCCUAGUAGACCUGGACAGUUCAGCAGAAGAGUUUGGAGGUGGGAUACAGGCUUGUGAUCAUCACGAAAAUCUCUCACCUAGAAAAGGCAGGUGUGUAAUUGGCAGAUGGAGCUGCCUGGCUUUGAAACCCAUCACCCUGUCCUGAUUCAGAGCAACUUUUCACACAUUGUCUCCAACAAAUGAUUGAAUGUGACAGAGAUGUUAAGGCAAGUGCAGAAUUUCUGUGAUAAACUUUCUAAGCAAUCUCCA